UACGUAGGUGACAAGCGUUGUCCGGAUUUACUGGGCGUAAAGAGCGCGCAGGCGGUCGUUCAAGUCGAGUGUGAAAGCCCCCGGCUCAACUGGGGAGGGUCAUUCGAUACUGAUCGACUCGAAGGCAGGAGAGGGUAGUGGAAUUCCCGGUGUAGUGGUGAAAUGCGUAGAUAUCGGGAGGAACACCAGUGGCGAAGGCGACUCCCUGGCCUGUUCUUGACGCUGAGGCGCGAAAGCUAGGGGAGCAAACGGG
rnacentral:rRNA from 1 species